rnacentral:lncRNA from 1 species
CCCGCAAAUCCUCUCUUAUUCUCUUCCUUCCUGGCUUUUCCCCACCUCGCUGGUGCCUCCUCUUGACCGACAGCGACCUCCCUCCCUGGCGUGUCCUUCUUGAUGUUCUCCGCUCCUUGUGCAUCCUCCUUCCCGACGUUCCGACCCCAUCGGUGCCUCCUAUGCUGCGGCCCCAAACCCACCGCCCCAGCCCAGCCUUGCCCAUGGCCGCCCC